rnacentral:rRNA from 1 species
CAAUAGCGUAUAUUAAAGUUGUUGCAGUUAAAAAGCUCGUAGUUGGAUUUGUGGCGUACGGUGGGUUCCGGGCACUUGUUGUCUGAGUAACUUGCUGUUGCCAUCCUUGGGUGGAACCUGUGUGGCAUUAGGUUGUCGUGCAGGGGAUGCCCAUCAUUUACUGUGAAAAAAUUAGAGUGUUCAAAGCAGGCUUAUGCCGUUGAAUAUAUUAGCAUGGAAUAAUGAGAUAGGACUUUUUUGCUAUUUUGUUGGUUUGCGCAAAGAGGUAAUGAUUAAUAGGGACAGUUGGGGGUAUUCGUAUUCCAUUGUCAGAGGUGAAAUUCUUGGAUUUUUGGAAGACGAACUACUGCGAAAGCAUUUACCAAGGAUGCUUUCAUUAA